rnacentral:rRNA from 1 species
AAGCGCUUGCAAUCAGACUUGCUUUCGGUUGAUCAUUGUUCCUUAUGGUUCAUGCACUCUUCCGUUAUGCAGGCCAGCAUCAGUUAGAGCGGUAAGAUAAAAACUUGAGGAAUGUGGCUCUCUUCGGGGAGUGUUAUAGCCCUCGGUGCAAUGCCGCCUACCUAGACCGAGGACCGCGCUUCGGCUAGGAUGCUGGCGUAAUGGUUGUAAGCG